rnacentral:lncRNA from 10 species
GCUGAUUAGCAUAAGCUGCCUGCAGAUGGCUAAGCUGAAAGAGGACACUGUAACACACGCCCACUGGGGUUUCGAGAGCUGUAACAUUCAGCCCUAAAUGCUGCCAUGGGGUCGGAGCCCAUGGUCCUCAAGACCCGCCCGCCUACAUGCUGCCCUUAGGGGCUGGAGCUGUGGGGCACUGAAACAGCCAGUCACAGCCCCAUCACAUGCCCGGCAAGGGGCUCUUAAAAAUCAAAAUGUUUUAUCCAAAAAUGAAACAAAAACAUCAUUGAUGUAACUAAUGAACGAAUGCAGUCAAGAAAGGUUCUGUUUUCCUCAGUGAAGUGUUCAUUUGCCCAGCAUUUUGCCUGAUACAUG